rnacentral:rRNA from 1 species
CUCCUACGGGAGGCAGCAGUGGGGAAUAUUGCACAAUGGGCGCAAGCCUGAUGCAGCCAUGCCGCGUGUAUGAAGAAGGCCUUCGGGUUGUAAAGUACUUUCAGCAGUGAGGAAGGUGGGUAUGUUAAUAGCAUACUCAUUUGACGUUAGCUGCAGAAGAAGCACCGGCUAACUCCGUGCCAGCAGCCGCGGUAAUACGGAGGGUGCGAGCGUUAAUCGGAAUUACUGGGCGUAAAGCGCAUGCAGGUGGUUUGUUAAGUCAGAUGUGAAAGCCCGGGGCUCAACCUCGGAAUUGCAUUUGAAACUGGCAAACUAGAGUACUGUAGAGGGGGUAGAAUUUCAGGUGUAGCGGUGAAAUGCGUAGAGAUCUGAAGGAAUACCGGUGGCGAAGGCGGCCCCCUGGACAGAUACUGACACUCAGAUGCGAAAGCGUGGGGAGCAAACAGGAUUAGAUACCCUGGCAG